rnacentral:rRNA from 1 species
UGGGGAAUCUUCCGCAAUGGACGAAAGUCUGACGGAGCAACGCCGCGUGAGUGAAGACGGCCUUCGGGUUGUAAAGCUCUGUGAUUCGGGACGAAAGGCCAUAUGUGAAUAAUAUAUGGAAAUGACGGUACCGAAAAAGCAAGCCACGGCUAACUACGUGCCAGCAGCCGCGGUAAUACGUAGGUGGCAAGCGUUGUCCGGAAUUAUUGGGCGUAAAGCGCGCGCAGGCGGUCACUUAAGUCCAUCUUAGAAGUGCGGGGCUUAACCCCGUGAUGGGAUGGAAACUGGGGGACUGGAGUAUCGGAGAGGAAAGUGGAAUUCCUAGUGUAGCGGUGAAAUGCGUAGAUAUUAGGAAGAACACCGGUGGCGAAGGCGACUUUCUGGACGAAAACUGACGCUGAGGCGCGAAAGCGUGGGGAGCAAACAGG